AGCGAACGCUGGCGGCAGGCUUAACACAUGCAAGUCGAACGAUCCUUCGGGAUAGUGGCGGACGGGUGAGUAACACGUGGGAACGUGCCUUUAGGUUCGGAAUAACACAGGGAAACUUGUGCUAAUACCGGAUAAGCCCUUCGGGGAAGGAUUUAUUCGCCUUUAGAGCGGCCCGCGUCUGAUUAGCUUGUUGGUGAGGUAAAGGACUCACCAAGGCUACGAUCAGUAGCUGGUCUGAGAGGANGGCCAGCCACAUUGGGACUGAGACACGGCCCAAACUCCUACGGGAGGCAGCAGUGGGGAAGUCUUGCGCAAUGGGCGAAAGCCUGACGCAGCCAUGCCGCGUGGAUGAU
rnacentral:rRNA from 1 species